rnacentral:rRNA from 1 species
AUUGAACGCUGGCGGCAUGCCUUACACAUGCAAGUCGAACGGCAGCACGGGAGCUUGCUCCUGGUGGCGAGUGGCGAACGGGUGAGUAAUGCAUCGGAACGUGCCCUGAAGUGGGGGAUAACGUAGCGAAAGUUACGCUAAUACCGCAUAUUCUGUGAGCAGGAAAGCAGGGGAUCUUCGGACCUUGCGCUUUUGGAGCGGCCGAUGUCGGAUUAGCUAGUUGGUGGGGUAAAGGCCCACCAAGGCGACGAUCCGUUGCGGGUCUGAGAGGAUGAUCCGCCACACUGGAACUGAGACACGGUCCAGACUCCUACGGGAGGCAGCAGUGGGGAAUUUUGGACAAUGGGCGCAAGCCUGAUCCAGCCAUGCCGCGUGAGUGAAGAAGGCCU